rnacentral:rRNA from 1 species
AUUGAACGCUGGCGGCAUGCCUUACACAUGCAAGUCGAACGGUAACAGGUCUUCGGAUGCUGACGAGUGGCGAACGGGUGAGUAAUACAUCGGAACGUGCCCGAUCGUGGGGGAUAACGCAGCGAAAGCUGUGCUAAUACCGCAUACGAUCUACGGAUGAAAGCGGGGGAUCGCAAGACCUCGCGCGGACGGAGCGGCCGAUGGCAGAUUAGGUAGUUGGUGGGAUAAAAGCUUACCAAGCCGACGAUCUGUAGCUGGUCUGAGAGGACGACCAGCCACACUGGGACUGAGACACGGCCCAGACUCCUACGGGAGGCAGCAGUGGGGAAUUUUGGACAAUGGGCGCAAGCCUGAUCCAGCCAUGCCGCGUGCAGGAUGAAGGCCUUCGGGUUGUAAACUGCUUUUGUACGGAACGAAAAGCUCUCUCUAAUACAGGGGUGAAUGACGGUACCGUAAGAAUAAGCACGGCUAACUACGUGCCAGCACG